rnacentral:tRNA from 1 species
AGGAUAGUUGGAGAAAGCGAGAACUGCUAAUUACUCGUACC